rnacentral:rRNA from 1 species
CAAGUCGAACGGGAAAGUGGAGCAAUCCAUGAGUACAGUGGCGUACGGGUGAGUAACACGUGGGUAAUCUAACUCUUAGUGGGGAAUAACCCAGGGAAACCGGGGCUAAUACCGCAUAAGCUCGAGAGAGGAAAGCAGCAAUGCGCUGAGAGAGGAGCCCGCGGCCGAUUAGCUAGUUGGUAGGGUAAGAGCCUACCAAGGCAGAGAUCGGUAGCCGGCCUGAGAGGGCACACGGCCACACUGGCACUGAAACACGGGCCAGACUCCUACGGGAGGCAGCAGUGGGGAAUCUUGCACAAUGGGGGCAACCCUGAUGCAGCGACGCCGCGUGAGCGAUGAAGCCCUUCGGGGUGUAAAGCUCUUUCGUCAGGGAAGAUCAUGACGGUACCUGGAGAAGCAGCUGCGGCUAACUACGUGCCAGCAGCCGCGGUAAUACGUAGGCAGCGAGCGUUGUUCGGAGUUACUGGGCGUAAAGGGUGUGUAGGCGGUUCUUUAAGUUUGGUGUGAAAUCUCCCGGCUCAACCGGGAGGGUGCGCCGAAUACUGAGGGACUAGAGUACGGGAGAGGAAAGUGGAAUUCCUGGUGUAGCGGUGAAAUGCGUAGAUAUCAGGAGGAACACCGGUGGUGUAGACGGCUUUCUGGACCGUAACUGACGCUGAGACACGAAAGCGUGGGUAGCAAACAGGAUUAGAUACCCUGGUAGUCCACGCCCUAAACGAUGCAUAUUUGGUGUGGGUCAUUCAGUUGAUCCGUGCCGGAGCUAACGCGUUAAAUAUGCCGCCUGGGGAGUACAGUCGCAAGGCUGAAACUCAAAGGAAUUGACGGGGGCCCGCACAAGCGGUGGAGCAUGUGGUUCAAUUCGACGCA